AGUUUUUUCUAUGCAGAAAAAUAAUUUGCAUAUCUAUAACAUGGGACAGGUGCGUCGGAGGGGGACAAGUAGGUCAAAGGUUGCAAAGAAACUCCCGCACACUGUCUAACUUGCAAAAAAAUAAAUGCAUGAAUGAA